rnacentral:rRNA from 1 species
GACGAACGCUGGCGGCGUGCCUAAUACAUGCAAGUAGAACGCUGAAGAGAGGAGCUUGCUCUUCUUGGAUGAGUUGCGAACGGGUGAGUAACGCGUAGGUAACCUGCCUUGUAGCGGGGGAUAACUAUUGGAAACGAUAGCUAAUACCGCAUAACAAUGGAUGACACAUGUCAUUUAUUUGAAAGGGGCAAUUGCUCCACUACAAGAUGGACCUGCGUUGUAUUAGCUAGUAGGUGAGGUAAUGGCUCACCUAGGCGACGAUACAUAGCCGACCUGAGAGGGUGAUCGGCCACACUGGGACUGGGACACGGCCCAGACUCCUACGGGAGGCAGCAGUAGGGAAUCUUCGGCAAUGGGGGCAACCCUGACCGAGCAACGCCGCGUGAGUGAAGAAGAUUUUCGGAUCGUAAAGCUCUGUUGUAAGUCAAGAACGGGUGUGAGAGUGGAAAGUUCACACUGUGACGGUAGCUUACCAGAAAGGGACGGCUAACUACGUG